GCGCAGGAAAAGAAACCAACAGGGAUUGCCCCAGUAACGGCGAGUGAAGCGGCAACAGCUCAAAUUUGAAAUCUGGCUUCGGCCCGAGUUGUAAUUUGCAGAGGAAGCUUUAGGCGCGGCACCAUCUGAGUCCCCUGGAACGGGGCGCCAAAGAGGGUGAGAGCCCCGUAUAGAUGGACGCCUAGCCUGUGUAAAGCUCCUUCGACGAGUCGAGUAGUUUGGGAAUGCUGCUCAAAAUGGGAGGUAAAUUUCUUCUAAAGCUAAAUAUUGGCCAGAGACCGAUAGCGCACAAGUAGAGUGAUCGAAAGAUGAAAAGCACUUUGAAAAGAGGGUUAAAUAGCACGUGAAAUUGUUGAAAGGGAAGCGCUUGUGACCAGACUUGCGCCGGGCGGAUCAUCCGGUGUUCUCAUCGGGGGGCAACGACCCGCGGACGAGAACAACGUUUCUCAGGAAGGGGGGAACAAAGUUAGGGCAAAAUUCCCUACCUCAGGGGAACGCGACAAAGGAGGUUUAAAGGGCUAGGGGUCAAACAAUACGGGGCCUCUGACAGGCUGUGGGGCCAAGGUCCAUGGAACACAGAUGGUGAAGCGCCUAAAGUGACGUCAGCGUAUUGCGAGAGUGGUCCGAAUGCAAAAUCCCACAUUCGUAGCUGAUAGCCGAAUUCACGGCGCAGAUUAUUCGGGCGCAAUCACCUGAUCGGAUUCCUGAUUGCUCGCCGCAUAGAACUUUGAAAGGGAUCCGACCGUGUAACGGAAGGCCAGAAUUUGGAAAAUCGAGGGUUCAAUAGUUCGCAUCGCCCGGUGGCCAAAAUUAGUUAACCCUGGCCCGAAAAGGGGAAUAAAUAGUUAAUUAUUCAACUUACCUUCAGUGUAACGAUACGAUC
rnacentral:rRNA from 1 species